GACGAACGCUGGCGGCGUGCCUAAUACAUGCAAGUCGAACGCUGAAGGAGGGGCUUGCUCUUCUGGAUGAGUUGCGAACGGGUGAGUAACGCGUAGGUAACCUGCCUGGUAGCGGGGGAUAACUCUUGGAAACGAUAGCUAAUACCGCAUAAGAGUAGUUGUUGCAUAACAUUUGCUUAAAAGGUGCAAUUGUAUCACUACUAGAUGGACCUGCGUUGUAUUAGCUAGUUGGUGGGGUAACGGCUCACCAAGGAGACGAAACAGAGCCGACCUGGGAGGGGUGGCGGCCACACUGGGAACGAGACAACGCCCAGACUCCUUCGGGAGGCAACAGGAGGGAAACUUCGGCAAUGGACGGAAGGCUGACCGGGCCACGCCGCGUGGGGGAAGAAGGGUUUCGGGUCGGAAAGCUCUGGUGUAAGGGAAGAACGAGUGUGGGAGUUGAAAGUGCACGCCGUGACGGUACCUUACCAGAAAGGGACGGCUAACUACGUG
rnacentral:rRNA from 1 species